CGUGUAGUUUCUCCCAAGGUGUCUGCCUCCUCACCCAGAGCCAGACCUCCACCUCCUCACCCAGGGCCAGACCUCCACCUCCUCACCCAGAGCCAGACCUCCACCUCCUCACCCAGAGCCAGACCUCCACCUCCUGUCAGAAGUCCUCCAGAACAGCUGAAAGGCGAGGCUGAGAGGCUGGAGACCGGAGGCUUGUGGUGGCAGGAUGGACCGGAGACUGAGGCUGGAGACCAGGGGCCUGCAGCACCGGACCAGAGGACCAAGAAUCCAUGGCUGAAGGAGCUGAUGGAGGAGCCGUGCUGAAGGAGCCGAUGGAGGAGCUGAUGGAGGAGCCGUGCUGAAGGAGCUGAUGGAGGUGUCGUGCUGAAGGCCCUGCCUGGUGGAGGAGCUGGUGGAGGCCCUGCCUGGUGAAGGACGUCUGUCGUGGGGUAGAUGGAGCUUGACUCUGAAGUGAUCAUCACACUCACUGCAACUUCUCGUAGAAUACUGCUACCACAAACUACCGGCGUUUGUACCACAUAUACCAGAUGACUACAUCUGUUUUAGCACAUGUUGAAGCAAGACUUCCGCUGUUUGUUCCAGACCAGGACUCUGUCUGAGGAGAGCUGCUGGAGGAGCUGAGACGCUGGAGGACGACUAGGAAUCGACCAACAAGGAUUCCUCGUAAGAUUGUAUUGACUUUACAUAGUUGACUUAAAGGGGAACAUACAGCUGUUACUUUGACAUGCGUUAACCAGCUACCGCUGUGAUUUCUUACUAGAAUGUGUUUCUGGAGCGGAGGCGAGUUGGUAGGGGAGCCGCAAAUCUGGAGGACGACAUCACUCCACCAACCAGGAUCCUCGUAAGUUUGCAUAAAAUAAACAGAGUGGACUUGUAACGCAGGAUUAGUUUUCCAGUUAAAGUUACGGCAUACUACUGUGGUUGUUUACCAGACGAACUACUACUUUGUUACGCGCCAUUAGAGCCCAACUACUCCUGUGUUUGUUACCUGAUAUCAGAGACAAACUACUACUGUGUUUGUUACCUUACAUUAGAGCCCAACUACUCCUGUGUUUGUUACCUUACAUUAGAGACAAACUACUCCUGUGUUUGUUACCUUACAUUAGAGACCAACUGCUCCUGAUUUGAGUAGAAUUGUGUGGCAAAGCACAACUGACGUGACUUGUAUGUUUUAUAUAAAUCACCGAUAAUGAGUGAAGGAAAUCGG
rnacentral:lncRNA from 1 species